rnacentral:rRNA from 1 species
AGCAGCCGCGGUAAUUCCAGCUCCAAUAGCGUAUAUUAAAGUUGUUGCAGUUAAAAAGCUCGUAGUUGAAUUUCGGGAUCAGUACGUCGGUCGUGCCUUGGUACGUACUGGCGUCGCUGAUUUCUCCCUUCUGACGAACCGUGAUGCCAUUAAUUUGGUGUUGCGGGGAAUCAGGACUGUUACUUUGAAAAAUUAGAGUGUUUAAAGCGGGCACGCGCUUGAAUACAUUAGCAUGGAAUAACGAAAUAGGACGUUCGAUCUUAUUUUGUUGGUUUCUAGGAUUGACGUAAUGAUUAAUAGGGAUAGUUGGGGGCAUUAGUAUUCAAUUGUCAGAGGUGAAAUUCUUGGACUUAUUGAAGACUAACUACUGCGAAAGCAUUUGCCAAGGAUGUUUUCAUUAAUCAAGAACGAAAGUUAGGGGAUCGAAGACGAUCAGAUACCGUCGUAGUC